rnacentral:rRNA from 1 species
CUACGGGGGGCAGCAGUGGGGAAUAUUGCACAAUGGGGGAAACCCUGAUGCAGCAAUGCCGCGUGAAGGAUGAAGUAUUUCGGUAUGUAAACUUCUUUCAGUAGGGAAGAAACAAAUGACGGUACCUACAGAAGAAGCCCCGGCUAACUAUGUGCCAGCAGCCGCGGUAAUACAUAGGGGGCAAGCGUUAUCCGGAAUUACUGGGUGUAAAGGGUGCGUAGGCGGCAACUCAAGUCAGGUGUGAAAACCCGGGGCUCAACUCCGGGAAUGCACUUUAAACUGGGUAGCUAGAGUACAGGAGAGGUAAGCGGAAUUCCUAGUGUAGCGGUGAAAUGCGUAGAUAUUAGGAAGAACACCAGUGGCGAAGGCGGCUUACUGGACUGAAACUGACGCUGAGGCACGAAAGCGUGGGGAGCGAACAGGAUUAGAUACCCCAGUAGUC